GGCCGUGUGGCUCAAUGGCAGAGCGUCUGACUACGAUUGUGCCUUGGCGGUCCAACGCCUCGGUUCGGUGGGAUCAGAAGGUCGCAGGUUCGACCCCUGUCUCGGUCA